UACAGAGGUGGCAAGCGUUGUUCGGAAUUACUGGGCGUAAAGCGUGCGCAGGCGGUUUCUUAAGUCAGAUGUGAAAGCCCCGGGCUUAACCUGGGAACUGCGUUUGAAACUGGGAGACUUGAGUGUGGCAGAGGGGGGUGGAAUUCCACGUGUAGCAGUGAAAUGCGUAGAUAUGUGGAGGAACACCGAUGGCGAAGGCAGCCCCCUGGGUUAACACUGACGCUCAUGCACGAAAGCGUGGGGAGCAAACAGG
rnacentral:rRNA from 1 species